UAGGGAAUCUUCCGCAAUGGGCGAAAGCCUGACGGAGCAACGCCGCGUGAGUGAUGAAGGUCUUCGGAUCGUAAAACUCUGUUAUUAGGGAAGAACAAAUGUGUAAGUAACUAUGCACAUCUUGACGGUACCUAAUCAGAAAGCCACGGCUAACUACGUGCCAGCAGCCGCGGUAAUACGUAGGUGGCAAGCGUUGUCCGGAUUUAUUGGGCGUAAAGCGAGCGCAGGCGGUCAAUUAAGUCUGAUGUGAAAGCCCCCGGCUCAACCGGGGAGGGUCAUUGGAAACUGGUUGACUUGAGUGCAGAAGAGGAGAGUGGAAUUCCAUGUGUAGCGGUGAAAUGCGUAGAUAUAUGGAGGAACACCAGUGGCGAAGGCGACUCUCUGGUCUGUAACUGACGCUGAGGCUCGAAAGCGUGGGUAGCAAACAGG
rnacentral:rRNA from 1 species